UGCUUGGUAGUUAAUAUUUGUAUAACUGAGAACUGCAAAUUC
rnacentral:tRNA from 1 species